CCUGCAUUAUAUUUUUUUUAUUAGAAUUUCGAAUGAAUUAUUCCACAAAAGAGCAAAAAUUGCAUCGAAUUAAAUUCAUGGAUUCAUUUAUAAAUAUUUCUGUUAGCUCUUCUUGGCAAGAGCAUGUCCCCGUCGCAUACACAAAAUCCGCGCCCUUCAGCCAUUAUCCCGUUGUGGUUGUUCUUGUUGUGUUUUUUUGUAUUGCUCCUGCACUUUAUGUCCUGUCAGCGGAGUCGGUCGACCAGCCCAGUGUCAGUCAGUGCCGUCGGCGCCCGAGGCCAUCGUCUGCCGGUGACAGGCGGGCGUCCGUUGGUGUCCGUUCCGUCUGUCCGUCUGUCCGUCCGUCCGUCAGAGCUAUGCGUCAGUGGAUCACGUUGCUGCUCCACGUGAUGAUGACAGUCAGGCACAUCGAAUGGCCAUCCCCAUGGCCGGAACAUUCAUUCCCUUGCCCCAACUGUGGCUACUGCGUGUAAUUGCCGUUGUAAUGUCGCUCAACGCGAAUAUAAUUGCUAAAAUGUUGCAUAAACCGACAGACGUGCCAAUGGC
rnacentral:lncRNA from 1 species